CCCUUAGAUGUUCUGGGCCGCACGCGUGCUACACUGAGUGGAUCAGCGGGUCAGGUUGCGCGAAAGCGUUUCCUAAUCUUUAAAUCCGCUCGUGAUGGGGAUUGACGGUUGCAAUUUUCUGUCAUGAACGAGGAAUACCUUGUAAGCGCGGGUCAUCAUCCCGCGCUGAAUACGUCCCUGCCCUUUGUACACACCGCCCGUCGCUCCUACCGAUUGAGUGGUCCGGUGAGGCUUUGGGAUCUGAGCGGAAAGAGCGUUUCGCUGUUUCUGCUCGGAGAACUCAGUCGAACCUUAUCAUUUAGAGGAAGGAGAAGUCGUAACA
rnacentral:rRNA from 1 species